rnacentral:lncRNA from 10 species
GAAGCAUGAGACAUAGCUGGAGAGAUUCUCUCCAAGUGGGACUCUUUUCUUAGGAAGGGCAUUACCAGUCCACUUUAAAGGAGGAAGGCUCAAGACCCAGUCUGAAAUGCAAUCCAGUCCAGAAUUCAUUCUUCACCUCUUCACCUCCCUGAGUUGCCAGGCUUCCAGAUUUCACUCCUUUUUUUUUUGAGACAGGGUCUUACUCUAUUACUCAGGCUGGAGGGGAGUGGUGCGAUCAUGGCUUACUGCAGCCUUGACCACCUGGGCUCAAGUGAUCCUCCUCUCAUCUCAGCCUCCCGAGUAGCUGGGACUAUAGGCAUGUGUCACCAUGCCUGGCUAAAUUUUUUUUUAUUUUUUGUAGAGAUGGGGUCUCCCUUUGUUGCCCAUGUUUGUCUAGAACUCCUGGGCUCAACCAAUCCUCCUGCCUCGGCCUCCCAAAAUGCUGGGAUUACAGGCAUGAGCCACCAUGCCCAGCCUUGAGUCAACUCUUGAUUCUUGAUCCACCUCACCAUCUUCCUAGCUUUGCCUUAGAUGCAGCUCUUCUUCUUUCCAGAGAGUUCAUAGAACCCAUUCCAGGGAAUCUGUAAAGAGAUUCCAGUCUCAAUGUGUCCUCAACAACCAGCAAGUCUACUCCCAGGAAAAUAUACCUUAGAUUUUCACAAAUAAUACAAUUUAGCAAACAUUUUUCGAGAGCUCAGAUACCAUCCAUUCAUCUGUUUGUUCAACAAAUACUGAUUGGGAGGACAAGAAUAACAUAAAAAUGAAUGAGGUAGAGCAUACUUGUCCUAUAUAAAUCCAGACUUUCUAUAAAGCUCAAGUAACUAGGAUAAUGUGAAAUUGGGAUGGUGACAGACAAAUAGACUACCCAGAGCCCAGAAACAGAUUUUCUGUGACUGAUUUGUGGGAAAAGAGGAACUCCCAUUUAUGGUACUGGAAUGAUGGGUUAACCAUGAGGAAAAAAUGAAAUUGAAUUUCUAUCUUACACCCAAAGAUUUGGGUGUCCCCUGCAGAUAGAUGAUCACCUAGGAGUAGAUACACAAAAAACAUUUCAAGAUGAUUUAAAGACUUAAGGGUUUCACACCAUAUACAAAAAUUAACUCACAAUGGAUCAAAGACCUAAAUGUAAGACCUAAAAGUGCCUGUAAAACUCUUAGAAUAAAACUUA